rnacentral:misc_RNA from 1 species
GGAAAGUAAAAGUCGUAACAAGGUUUCCGUAGGUGAACCUGCGGAAGGAUCAUUCAUAAUAAAGUGUUUUAUGGCACUUUUUAAAAAUCCAUAUCCACCUUGUGUGCAAUGUUAGAUCUCGUCAAUCUUGGCGAGGUUUUUAUACAUCAACUCAUUCUAUAACUAAUUUGUCUGAAAAAUAUUAUGAAUACUUAAUUCAAAAUACAACUUUCAACAACGGAUCUCUUGGCUCUC